AUGAAGGGAAAUGAGAUAAAGACACUAUCUCAAGGAACCCUUAGAAGCCCUUGGAAGACAACAAUUUGGUCGUUAAUCAUUUGUCUGAAGACUUUUGUCCAGCUCCUUCGCCACACACGAAGCCGGGCACUUGGAACACACUUGUUCAGAAACUGCUCUGGAGGAACGGAUGUGUUGGCAAGCAAUGCUAAAGAGGCACAGCGCUCGUGUGCCUGGGAGGUGCAUCAGAAGUUUCUCCUCCCUACUGUUUUGGUUGAAUCGUGUCCCCCCAAAAGGCAAGCUCAAGUCCUAAAGCCUGUGAAUGUGACCUUAUUUGGAAAUAAGGUCUUUGAAGAUAUCAGUGAAAAUGUGGCCAAGUCGGACUAGGGGGCCCUCGUCUAACAUGACUGGAGAGGAGACACGGCAAGGACACAGGGAGGGUGCCAGGUGAAGAUGGAGACAGAAAAGAAGGCCUCGUGGAGACUGAGCAGAGAUGCACCUGCAAGCCGAGGACUGCCAAGGAUUGCCGGGAAACCCCAGGCGCUCGAAGAGGAGGGCUGGAUUCUCCCCUGCAGGCUCCAGAUGCCUGCCGACACCUUGCUUGCAGACUUCCAGCCUCCAGAACCGUGAGAGAAUAAAGUACGAUUGUUUUAAGCCCCCCAGUUUGUGGUACUUUGUUCCUGCAGCCCUAGGAAAUGAAGGCACCCACGAAUGAUGAACACGUAUUCCUGAAAGGGGAGCUACAUUCAUAACUGCUUUAGGGAGCCCCUGAUCCCCUG
rnacentral:lncRNA from 1 species